AUAUUGCGCAAUGGGGGAAACCCUGACGCAGCAACGCCGCGUGCGGGAUGAAGGCUUUCGGGUUGUAAACCGCUUUCAGCAGGGAAGAUUAUGACGGUACCUGCAGAAGAAGCCCCGGCUAACUACGUGCCAGCAGCCGCGGUAAUACGUAGGGGGCAAGCGUUAUCCGGAUUCAUUGGGCGUAAAGCGCGCGCAGGCGGGUUGCUAAGCGGGACCUCUAAUCUUGGGGCUCAACCUCAAGCCGGGUCCCGAACUGGCAGCCUCGAGUGCGGUAGGGGUAAGCGGAAUUCCCGGUGUAGCGGUGGAAUGCGCAGAUAUCGGGAAGAACACCGAUGGCGAAGGCAGCUUACUGGGCCGACACUGACGCUGAGGCGCGAAAGCUAGGGGAGCGAACAGG
rnacentral:rRNA from 1 species